rnacentral:tRNA from 1 species
AAAUCCGUCGACUUUAUGAAAUAGAGAGGGUUCAAGUCCCUCUAUCCCCAA